rnacentral:rRNA from 1 species
CAGUCGCCGCGGUAAUACGAAGGGGGCAAGCGUUGUUCGGAAUUACUGGGCGUAAAGGGCGCGUAGGCGGUGUACUAAGUUAGGCGUGAAAGCCCUGGGCUCAACCCGGGAAUUGCGCUUGAUACUGGUACGCUAGAAUCCAGGAGAGGUUGGUGGAAUUCCCAGUGUAGAGGUGAAAUUCGUAGACAUUCGGAAGAACACCAGUGGCGAAGGCGGCUUACUGGCUCAUUCUAGACGCUGAGGUGCGAAAGCGUGGGGAGCAAACAGGAUUAGAUACCCCCGUAGUCCCUGUCUCUUAUAC